AGGUUUAUUCUUAGCGGUGACUGAAGAUUGCAGAAUUUACUGAAGUGUGUGACUGGGUGAGAAGAACCGCACAAGUGACAAGAGAAGACAGCUGGGCCAGGAGAACUAUGUGGAAGUCUUGUCCCUCUUCUCAAACAAUGCUGGACUGCAGAAGAUGGCUCCCACGCUGAAAUGCGGCUCAUGUGCAGGGAAGCAAAGAAGCCACUGCCACUCCUCCCACUUGGCGCUGGACAGGCGUGAGCCUCCCCGUUUGGGACUUGAUGCUGCUCUCCCCAGGACUGCACCCUCCGUUGCUCGUGCACGGCUUCCAGCUGGAUUGGACUCCGGAAUGCUUUCUGCAUAGGACCACCUUUUAAAAAUAAAGUUUGGCAAUGAUUGAUUGAAAA